CUAGGUUAGAAUAAAGAGGGAAGGAAAUAAGAGAACAUCAUUUUGCUCAUUGGAACGCACUGCUAGAGAGAGAGAAAGAGAGGAAGAGAACAGCUAGAGAGAGAGAGAGAGAGGAAGAGCACAAGCUAGAGAGAGAAAUGAAGAAGGAAUUAAAGAAGGAGAGGAAGAAGAAGAAGGGAUUCGAAAUCCCUAGGUGUAGGGUUUGAAAAUUAUAGGUGCCCAAGAGGAGAAUAAACCUUGUCGUAUUGAUUUCUAUCAAGGAGUGUGAUGCAGGAAACUAGAUACGGGGGUGGAAGGAUUCUUGGUAGCUUGGCAUGUUUGUUGAGGAUGAAUGGACUGUGUGUCGAUCGAGGAUGAAGUUAUUUUUAUUUAGUCUUUUAGAUCAUGUUUUUUCGCAUUUAGUUUUUUUAAACAAUUGAAUUAAAGUUUAUGUUUUUCUUUUAAACAAUGGGUACCCAUGCCAUAUUUUCUAUUAUUAUGUAUUUGAUACAAUAUUUUGAGAUUUAAUAAAUUUAUAUUAUUUCUUAUGUAUCUUUCCCAAAAUAGUAGCUAUGUAUAGUAGAUCUAAUGGUUCGAGGUCAUAGAAAUAGUUGGGUCAUUACAUUUCAUGACUUGUUAUGCUUGCUGAUAUUUGUGUAUAAAUGGUUUAGAAUAUGAUGAAAAUAAUGAUUUUGCAUGCUUAAAUGAUUUUGCAAGUGCUAUGAUGUUUUGAAGAAAUUAAAAGGGAUGUGUUUUCGUAAUGGCGUCUCAUCAGAUUCGAAUUCAUAAUGCCAAGGCCACUGUUUAACUCAGCCACCAACCAUCUAAGCUCUAGUACGCCACAGUUUAACAGGGCCCAUUUUGAAGAAUAUGUCUCUCUAAUUAUCUCUGCAAAAUCUGAAGGUUGGGUGAAAAAGAAUUCCGUGGUAUGGUCUUCUUUGCAAAAGAAUUCUCUGUUGUGGUCUGGCAGUUAAAGUUUGACAUUUUUCAAGGGAGGAAGGUGGUUGACUGAGACUCGGGUGCUGGUGGGAGGAGGAGUGGGAGGAAUUCUCUGAAAGGGUUAGUUAAUUAACAUGGGUAGACACUAAGAUGGAACAAUUACAAGGAAGGAGAUGGUUCAAACAAGUUUAUGUUCCCAGGUGUUUUGUUGCGUUCUAUUGAUUAUCUUGCAGUUGCAAAGUCCGCAAUUGACAGUUUCGAUGCUUUCAUACUAUUAAAUUUUUCUUCCUGUACUUCUGGUGGCCUUUUGACCUUUCAUGGUUGUAGGCAUGUGUUAAUUUCAUUAACAUGUGUGUAUAGAUUUGUGGCUCCUACUUCACUUCUGUGAUGUAUGUGGAGCAUUGGUGUGAGGAGAAUUUUAGGAGCCUAACAUUGGGUAGCCCAGAUUUUUCUGACAUUGAAAUGUUACCUCAACAUAUUGAGAUACUUGUCUCAGCAGUCACUCAUAUCAAUGAACCUAACAGCUUAUAUGGGAUCAUUCAGUCCCACAAGGGGUGAUAUCAUUAUCAGCUGGCCUCUCUAGUGUAGUAUUUACGAUCUGUCUUUUUGGUCAUCAAUUAUUUUGUAGUAUGAGGCUGCUUAGUGUGCUGGAAACUGGAAUUUUUCCUUGCUUGACAUGGGAGAUAAUUAACAGAGUGAGCAAACUAAAAGUGGCCAUUUCGAUGAAAAUUUGCUCAGAGUGUCAAGAACCACAAAUUUGGCACCAAAUAAUGCAAAAUAUUAGAUUGGAUUGGAUCUGGAGAAAUUAUUGCAGAAGGCUAUUUUAUUUCAAGUGACCCAAAGGAUGAGGUUCACCAUGUUCCUCUAGGGCCUAGUGCUAUGAAAGUGGGGAUAGAUCUUGUGAAAAAGAGUGAUGCAUUUCUGUGGAGGCCUUCAACAAUUAUGUCUACUAUAGAAGAUACUAUAGGUAGUUUAAUGGCAUGGACAGCUGAUAAAAUCAUAAUUAGCUAAGCAAAUGGACUAACAACAAAGACAAGUGCACAAAGGAUGAUGAAUUGAAGGAUGGAGAAAGUUUCAUGCAUGGUUUACUUUUGUGUAUCAUGUAAUGUUUCUGUUUUUCAUUUUUGAAGUAAAAAUUGUUCAAGAUUAUAAAACUUUAUUAUGUUAUGCUUUCAAACUUAAGUUAGAACUAAGAUCUCAUGAAGUAGACACAUUCAUGGUUUGAAUUAGUUAUUGUUUAAAGUAAUACUUAUGGUUUAUCAAA